UAGUAACGGCGAGUGAAGCGGGAAGAGGUCAAGCUUAAAAUCUCUGCGCAAGUUUUGCGCGGCGAAUUGUAGUCUAUAGACGCGAUAUCAGUGCGGCUAUUCGGGGUAAGUUCCUUGGAAGAGGACAGCAAUGAGGGUGAUACUCCCGUUUGUACCUGAGUAUGUUGCACGUACGAUGCGUGUUCUUUGAGUCGCGUUGUUUGGGAAUGCAGCGCAAAGUAGGUGGUAAAUUCCAUCUAAAGCUAAAUAUUGGUGCGAGACCGAUAGCGAACAAGUACCGUGAGGGAAAGAUGAAAAGAACUUUGAAAAGAGAGUUAAAGAGUACCUGAAACUGCUGAAAGGGAACCGGGUCGUUGCCAGUGUCUAUAAUCCAUGGCAUAUUUCAUUGCUGUGCGGGGCUGUGUCGCGCAUUGGUAGUAGUUUGUUCUGCACCGUGUGUGGCUGUGGCUUUGCUCGGCGGUGCCCUGUGUCGUGGUGGGACGUCAGAGUCAGUUCGUGUGCUGCGGGAAAUGGCUGUCGAGGAGGUAGGUCAGGAGCUUGCUUUUGGCUGUUAUAUCUCGGCGUGCUAGUUGUCGUGGUUGGGACUGAGGUGCCUACAACGUGCUUUUUCGAGUGUUUGUGCGUCUCUGUGCGCGUCCGGAUUGGAUAGCUUGCUAUGCAGUUUGUCACGUGUGCGGAUGGAUGUGCUUUCUUACUUGUUGCCGUUC
rnacentral:rRNA from 1 species